rnacentral:rRNA from 1 species
AUUGAACGCUGGCGGCAGGCCUAACACAUGCAAGUCGAGCGGAGCGGCGGACGGGUGAGUAAUGCCUAGGAAUCUGCCUGGUAGUGGGGGAUAACGUCCGGAAACGGGCGCUAAUACCGCAUACUAUCAGAUGAGCCUAGGUCGGAUUAGCUAGUUGGUGGGGUAAAGGCCUACCAAGGCGACGAUCCGUAACUGGUCUGAGAGGAUGAUCAGUCACACCGGAACUGAGACACGGUCCAGACUCCUACGGAAGGCGGCAGUGGGGAACAUUGGACAAUGGGCGGAAGCCUGAUCCAGCCAUGCCGCGUGUGUGAAGAAGUCCUUCGGAUUGUAAAGCACUUUAAGUUGGGAGGCGUUACCGACAUAAGAAGCACCGGCUAACUCCGGGCUAGCAGCCGCGGUAAUUC